UACGUAGGGUGCAAGCGUUAAUCGGAAUUACUGGGCGUAAAGCGUGCGCAGGCGGUUUUGUAAGUCUGUCGUGAAAUCCCCGGGCUCAACCUGGGAAUUGCGAUGGAGACUGCAAGGCUAGAAUCUGGCAGAGGGGGGUAGAAUUCCACGUGUAGCAGUGAAAUGCGUAGAGAUGUGGAGGAACACCGAUGGCGAAGGCAGCCCCCUGGGUCAAGAUUGACGCUCAUGCACGAAAGCGUGGGGAGCAAAC
rnacentral:rRNA from 2 species